rnacentral:rRNA from 1 species
CACGUAGGGCGCAAGCGUUGUCCGGAAUUAUUGGGCGUAAAGAGCUCGUAGGCGGUCUGUUGCGUCCGCUGUGAAAACCCGGGGCUUAACCCUGGGCUGGCAGUGGAUACGGACAGACUAGAGGUAGGUAGGGGAGAAUGGAAUUCCCGGUGUAGCGGUGAAAUGCGCAGAUAUCGGGAGGAACACCGGUGGCGAAGGCGGUUCUCUGGGCCUUACCUGACGCUGAGGAGCGAAAGCGUGGGGAGUGAACAGG